rnacentral:rRNA from 1 species
CCGGCACGGGUGAGUAACACGUAUGCAAUCCACCUGUAACAGGGGAUAACCCGGAGAAAUCCGGACUAAUACCCCAUAAUAUGGGCGCUCCGCAUGGAGAGCCCAUUAAAGAGAGCAAUUUUGGUUACAGACGAGCAUGCGCUCCAUUAGCCAGUUGGCGGGGUAACGGCCCACCAAAGCGACGAUGGAUGGGGGUUCUGAGAGGAAGGUCCCCCACAUUGGAACUGAGACACGGUCCAA